CGUACCCCGAGCUGGAGGCUUGAGCCUGUGGCAUCUAGGCUCGCCUCACUGCGGUUGGUGGAGGUGACGGAGGUUGCAGCUUGGCCAGCAUGGUAGAAAGGUGGCAGGGCACAUCUGGCUUUUACCACCCAGAUGCUUCGAGCCAGGAGCUGGAGGAGUCAUCUGUUGCACGCUGGAGGCUGGAGCCUGCAGAUGGCAUGGUUCUGUGGCUCCCCUCGCUGCAGUUGGUGGCAGAGACAGAGACUGCAGCUUGACCGGAGUGGUGGAGUGGUGUGUAUCUCAAGAUCACUCCACAACAAAGAUUCUGCCUGCAGUCCUCCACUUCAAGGGAUCAUGGCCCAAGUUUUAGUGUCUACCCUGUCCAUUGAAGAUGAGGACUCCUAUGAGAGCAGGAUGGUGGUGACGUUCCUCAUGUCAGCUCUUGAGUCCACGUGUAAAAAACUGGCCAAGUUUAAGGCCAAAGUGGCCUGCAUCACAGAGUAUAAAGCAGAUCUCUUUGCCUUCAGAACUGAAGGACAGAGGACACAAUUUUUUCAAUACCAGAAAGGAUUUUCAAGCCGAUUUUGUGAAAUAUUGUGUUGAAGAAGAAGAAAAGGUUGCAGAGAUGUGUAAAAUAAAGUCUACAACCCAGGUGAAUCAGAUGAGUGUAGAUGUUGUAGAAAUGGCAACACUCGGAAAAAAACAGUUGAGGACUAUUUCUGCUUUUGCUGGAAAGCUUUACAAAAACCCACAGAGGUACCUGUACCAUAUGAGAAGAUGCUACAAGACCAGUCAGCUUUGAUAGUACAGGGGCUUCCAGAAGGUGUUGCCUUUAAACACCCUGAGAAUUAUGAUCUUGCAACCCUGGAAUGGAUUUUGGAGUACACAGCUGGGAUUUCAUUUAUUAUUAAGAGAUCUUUCUUAGAGCCAAAGAAGCAUCUAGAUUAG